rnacentral:rRNA from 1 species
UACGGGGGGAGCAAGCGUUGUUCGGAUUUACUGGGCGUAAAGGGCGCGUAGGCGGCGCAACAAGUCACUUGUGAAAUCUCCGGGCUUAACCCGGAGCGGUCAAGUGAUACUGUCGUGCUAGAGUGCGGAAGGGGCUACUGGAAUUCUCGGUGUAGCGGUGAAAUGCGUAGAUAAUCUGGAGGAAUACCGGUGGCGAAGGCGGCAUCCUGGACCGGCAUUGACGCUGAUGAGCGAAAGCUAGGGGAGCAAACGGG